UACGUAGGGGGCUAGCGUUGUCCGGAAUCAUUGGGCGUAAAGCGCGUGUAGGCGGCUCGAUAAGUCCGCUCUGAAAGCCCGGGGCUCAACCCCGGGAGGCGGGUGGAUACUGUCGAGCUCGAGUCCGGAAGAGGCAAGUGGAAUUCCCGGUGUAGCGGUGAAAUGCGCAGAUAUCGGGAGGAACACCAAUGGCGAAGGCAGCUUGCUGGGACGGUAUUGACACUGAGGCGCGAAAGCCAGGGGAGCAAACGGG
rnacentral:rRNA from 1 species